GCAAUGGGCGAAAGCCUGACGGAGCAAUACCGCGUGAGGGAGGAAGGCUCUUGGGUUGUAAACCUCUUUUCUCAGGGAAGAAGAAAAUGACGGUACCUGAGGAAUAAGCAUCGGCUAACUCCGUGCCAGCAGCCGCGGUAAUACGGAGGAUGCAAGCGUUAUCCGGAAUGAUUGGGCGUAAAGGGUCCGCAGGUGGCAUUGUAAGUCUGCUGUUAAAGAGUCAGGCUCAACCUGAUAAAAGCAGUGGAAACUACAAAGCUAGAGUGUGGUCGGGGCAGAGGGAAUUCCUGGUGUAGCGGUGAAAUGCGUAGAUAUCAGGAAG
rnacentral:rRNA from 1 species